GAUGAAGAACGUAGCGAAAUGCGAUACGUAAUGUGAAUUGCAGAAUUCAGUGAAUCAUCGAAUCUUUGAACGCAUAUUGCGCUCUCUGGUAUUCCGGAGAGCAUGCUUGUUUGAGUAUCAGUAAACACCUCAACUUCCAUAUCUUUUUUUGAAAUGGGAGUUGGACUUGAGUGAUCCCAACGCUUUUCCUCACCGAAAAGUGGCGGGUUACUUGAAAUGCAGGUGCAGCUGGACUUUUCUCUGAGCUAUAAGCAUAUCUAUUUAGUCUGCCUAAAAAACAGAUUAUUACCUUUGCUGCAGCUAACAUAAGGAGAUUAGUUCUUGUGCUGACUGAUGCAGGAUUCACAAAGACAGCUUCGGCCGACUUUGUAAACUCGAUCUCAAAUCAAGUAAGACUACCCGCUGAACUUAAGCAUAUCAAUAAGCGGAGGA
rnacentral:misc_RNA from 1 species